rnacentral:rRNA from 1 species
GUGUCAGCCGCCGCGGUAAUACGUAGGUGGCAAGCGUUGUCCGGAAUUAUUGAGCGUAAAGCGCGCGCAGGCGGUCCUUUAAGUCUGAUGUGAAGGCCCACGGCUCAACCGUGGAGGGUCAUUGGAAACUGGGGGACUUGAGUGCAGGAGAGGAGAGCGGAAUUCCACGUGUAGCGGUGAAAUGCGUAGAGAUGUGGAGGAACACCAGUGGCGAAGGCGGCUCUCUGGCCUGUAACUGACGCUGAGGUGCGAAAGCGUGGGGAGCAAACAGGAUUAGAAACCCCGGUAGUCC